ACGGGCGUGGUAUAAGUGGUGAUUACACCAGCCGUACCGGCUGAAGAUGCGGGUUCGAGUCCUGCUGCCCGUUCCA
rnacentral:tRNA from 2 species